AGAAACAUUUAUUAGAAGCCACCUAAUGCUCCUGGUUGAAAGUCGCAAGGAGAGCCAGGAGAUGGGGCACUUGGAGCUAGAAGGACCAGGCCGCUGGGGGCCUGCUGUGUGACUUGUAGCUUUCAUCCCCAGUCUGUGGUUGGUUUGUGACCUGUGCUGAACGUCCAGCCAGGACCUCAUAGGGCUGAGCUCCUUGCAGAAACUGAGGCAUGGAUCCAAGAGAGGAGGAGCGGCCACAGGACGUCUUGACCAGUACUUGGCACCCUGGGUGCUGGUUUGCCCAGCUGGUUGGCUGGCAGGCACUUAACUGUGUAAUCCUUACUUCCUCCACCCCCUCACAUUCCUCGGCAUUCCAUAAACACUCUGGCUCCCGCAGGUGGCCCUGGCCAGGAGGGUGGCACCUUUAUUUAAAGGCCCUGCUAUUCUAAGUCCCACUCACCCACUCACCCUCAGUCUGAAAACUCCACUUGCUCCCUCCCACUUUCCUGUUUCCAAACAGGCUCUUUAUAGUUUACUCCUGGCCAGGUCUGGCAGAGGAUGUGUCAUCAGGUGAUAUGCUGAGCCUUGGGUAUAGGGCAGAGCUACAGGGACACAAACUAGUAGGAAACAAGAGCCAAGACCAGCAACCCCACUAGGCUAUGGUAGGCAUGGUUCAGGUUGGGCCUGGCUAUGUCUGCCAGCCUGAUUUGUCCCCAUGUCCUUUCAGAAGAAUACCAUCCACUCAGGUCCCCUAGAAGAGAUUGUAGGAUUGAACAUUAUUCUUUAUAAGAAAAAAAAAACCCUGUCUUUUUAAUAAGGAAAAUUAAGAGAAGCUUGCUGUUUAUUUAUUGUGUUUGUAGAGUGGUUUUACACCUGCCAUUGUGAUUUUCUUCAGGAUGUUUGCCUGUAUAGUGCUGCCCUCCACCGCUUGCCUUCACAAAAUGCUCCCUUCCUCAGUGCUCUCCUCCCCAGUGCUCCCCUCCCCAGUGCUCCCCUCCAUAGUGUUCCCUUCCAUAGUGCUCCCCUCCAUAGUGUGCCACUCCAUGGUGCUCCCCUCCCCAAUGCUCCCCCCAUAGUGCUCCCUUCCACAGUACUCUCCUCUAAGUGUUCCCUUCCACCAGUGCUCCCCUCCACAGUGUUCUGUAGAAGGCCUGCCCAUGUAUACAUCCCCCACACAAAUACAUUUGAGAAAGAAUAAAGUUCCAUGAGUGUGCCCUUUCGCUUGUGUUUUGGGUGUGAGUUUUCACUUCUUGGAUGGACCUUGAGUAGUGAAAUUGCUGGGUGAUAUGGUAACCUUAUGAACUGCUUUUUGAGGAACUAAUAUGUGUAGGGAAUUUCUAAUCCUUCAUCCUGAUAAACACAGUCCCCACUUGUUGUAGAUACCCAUAAUGCGUAUAAACACACUCAGGCAAAAGUAAGACAGUGGUAGGUGACCGGCUUACCUUGGUGCAUUGUGGCUUUUCUUCAGGCUCAGUAGUGUGAGCUGAAUCGGGCUGAGCUGUCCUGGCUAGGUAUUCUCACUUUCUGUUGGAAGCCUUUUCACACCUAUAAACACUUCAUAGUGUUGCUCUUCCCGGCCACCGCCUUAUCCCUGCUCCAGUGUGUGUAGCCAGGAAGUCCGCUGCAUUUGAACAUCUAGAUCAUUUCUUUGCAUCUUUUGUUUGACUCAGGGUCUCUGUCUAUAGCCCAGCGUGACCGCAAGCCUGCAGUGCAUUUGCUGUUCUGACACACCCAGCCUCCUCCCGUCAUUAUUAUUGUUAUUAUCACCAUCAUCAUCAUCAUCACCACCAUCAUCAUCAUCACUUCUUCCUUGAGGCCAUCUUUGGCUCCGAUAAGUUUUGAGAUAAAACUCUUAGAAGGGG
rnacentral:lncRNA from 1 species